CCACUGUAUUUUAAUGUACAGUAUUGCAUUCUGACAGCAACUAAGGUAACCUAUGUCUGCGAAGGAGCCCAGAUGCCACAGCAGUGCCAUUUUGAGUCAUGCAGAAGAAGGGAGUCUGUUCCUAGCUCUCCUUGCAUUCCAGUCAUAAGCUUCUGUAUGUCUGUUUAGUUUGUUCUGGUGGGAAGCUGAACCUAGAAAUAUGUCCACAGAUCACAAUGACUUGAUGGGAAAAGCAGCUGUAGGACAUGGACAAGAAAGAGAAGUCUUAAAAACAAGUUUUACUCUAUGUAGCAAGUUCAAUUGAUUGCCAUUUGUCAGAGCUUGCAUCUGUUUUGCUGUAUUAUAUAUUCCAAGACUGCAGAAUCCCAUGUUUUUUCCCCCAGGCCAGAACAAUCCUCCUGGGAGGAGGUGUCCUCUUGCCACAUUGUCUUCUACCUUACAACCUAAAGUACUGUACUGAAAAAUCUCUUAAUCUAAGUUUUUCCAUCAAAGGAUACUACAGCAACCAGAACAGCAUGCUGCCAUUCUGAUAUCCAGGAAGUACAAAAUGAACCAGGACUCUCAUUGUAUUUAUGGCUGAAACCCAAACCCAACACAAUUUAAA